rnacentral:lncRNA from 1 species
CGUGAAUUUGUCCCUGUUGCCGCUAGGCGCUGGGCCGCCACCAGGGGUCAGGGCGAAAGCCAGAUAUAAGAGCGUUCAGACUGGUCCAAUUUCCAAGCGUGACUUUGGCCCCCUGAGCGCCCUUUAAUUUCAGCACCGCCUACAGGCCACAACCCCAGAAACGUAGGUAACAAAGAGGGCCCUAAGAGAGACUUACAUGGAUCCGCCUAGCAAGGGGAAAAAGACAAGAAAGACCUCCUGCGUAAAUUUCAAGGUCUCACUCUGUAAUUCAAGCUGACCUUGGACUCACAGCAAUCCUCUUACCUCAGCAAGGGUAUUGCUAUCUGGUACCAGCCCAGUGGUCAAGGCCACCGAUUGCUCUUCCAGAGGAUCUGGAUUCAAUCUUCUCAGCACCCACAUGGUGAUGGUGAUUCGAAACUGUCUGAAACUCCAGUUCUGGGGAUUCUGAUGCUUUUUCUGGUCUCCUUGAGCAUGAGGCACACAUACAGUAGACAUACAUAUGUAGUCAGAAGUUUCUGUCCUUCAGCCACUCCCAAAUAACCACUCGGAAACAAUGUUAUUUAUAAACGCGUGGCUGAUAGCUCAGGCUUGUAACUAACUUUUGCAUUUCAAUUAACCCAUCUGCAUAUAUUAUGGACUGGUGGAAGGGUAUGAGGAAGAAUCUGGCUCCUCCAGCUUCAGCGGAUCUAAUGCUCUCUUCUGGCUUUCUUGGGCAUCUGUAUGUGUGAGGUGCACACACACACACACACACACACACACACACACACACACACACACACACACAAAAAGUAAAUCUUAAAAAAAAGAAAAUCUAUGGGCUGGAGAGCUGGCUCAGUGGUUAAGAGCACUGGCUGCUCUUCCAGAGGUCCUGAGUUCCAUUCCCAGCAACCACAUGGUGGAUCACAGCCAUCCACAAUGAGAUUGGGUGCCUUCUUCUGGCCCGCAGGCAUACAUGCAGACAAAACCCUAUAUAUAGAAGAAAUAAAUAAAUCUUAAAAAAAAAUCUAAAAUCUGCCAAUCAAUGAUCAGAAUGAUAAUUUUUUCAGGAUGUAAAGUCAACGUUAAAAUCAGUUGUAUAUAAUUAGUACCAGACCCUGGAUUUGAGCUCUAGUCUUCAGGCUUGCAGGAAGUUCUUUUAUUAUUAUUAUUAUUAUUAUUAUUAUUAUUAUUAUUAUUAUU